GACCUCGGAUCAGGUAGGAAUACCCGCUGAACUUAAGCAUAUCAUAACG
rnacentral:rRNA from 1 species